rnacentral:rRNA from 1 species
AGAGUUUGAUCAUGGCUCAGGAUGAACGCUGGCGGCGUGCUUAACACAUGCAAGUCGAACGAAGCAUCCCGGAUGAGGCCUCCGGGCGGAUUUAGGGAUGACUGAGUGGCGGACGGGUGAGUAACGCGUGGGCAACCUGCCCCGUACCGGGGGACAACAGCUGGAAACGGCUGCUAAUACCGCAUAAGCUUUCGGAGCCGCAUGGUUCCGGGAGGGAAACUCCGGUGGUAUGGGAUGGGCCCGCGUUGGAUUAGGCAGUUGGCGGGGUAACGGCCCACCAAACCGACGAUCCAUAGCCGGCCUGAGAGGGCGACCGGCCACAUUGGGACUGAGACACGGCCCAAACUCCUACGGGAGGCAGCAGUGGGGAAUAUUGCACAAUGGGGGGAACCCUGAUGCAGCGACGCCGCGUGAGCGAAGAAGUAUUUCGGUAUGUAAAGCUCUAUCAGCAGGGAAGAAAAUGACGGUACCUGACUAAGAAGCUCCGGCUAAAUACGUGCCAGCAGCCGCGGUAAUACGUAUGGAGCAAGCGUUAUCCGGAUUUACUGGGUGUAAAGGGAGCGUAGACGGGUAUGCAAGUCUGAUGUGAAAGGCCACGGCCCAACUGUGGGACUGCAUUGGAAACUGUAUGCCUUGAGUGCCGGAGAGGUAAGCGGAAUUCCUGGUGUAGCGGUGAAAUGCGUAGAUAUCAGGAGGAACACCAGUGGCGAAGGCGGCUUACUGGACGGCAACUGACGUUGAGGCUCGAAAGCGUGGGGAGCAAACAGGAUUAGAUACCCUGGUAGUCCACGCGGUAAACG